UAAUGCUGAGCAGCAAUUAUGCAAAUGAAACCUGGUAACUGACUUUGGGGUCAAAGGCCGGUUACAGCCUAUCAGAACUAAAGGAGGGGUAUUUAGGCCCAGUUCUCAGCCUGCUCAGUGCCCUGUCGUGGUUUCCCUUGUGGUUGUCUGAGAGCGCGUUCCUGUUUAUAGUUUUCUACCUGGUUUUUGACUUUGGCUUUGUUUAUUGACUUCUCUAUAUUCUGGUAUCCUGACUCCUGGCUUUCCUCAUCGCUGUGUCCCUUUCUGUGUUCCCUGACCUCGGCUAGUAUUUUUGAGUAUUCUUUGUACGUUAAAUCCGGCCAUUCUAAGGACCGGUAAUACGUUACUUAUUUGUCAUCCGUGCUGUACAGUUCUACGUGCUGGAUCAAACAUUAAUCCUG